CGUUGUUAUCGGUGUUAUUCGCAAGUAUUUUCCAUUCGUUUAUUGUGUUGUGGGCCAGACGCUCUAUAAAUGAAAUAAAAAUGGAAAUUACUUAACCUCACAUAUUGUGUGUAUACCACAGAUAUAAUUUACUAACUCGUGUUUCUAGAUGGUCAAAAUUACAAGUUCGAUGUUCAUACUUUUGCUUCUGGUAGUGAGAUAUGGACCUACAUAUUCAGUUUCAGCUUUCAGAUCUUUUACUUCUCACCUGCAGAAUACAUAAAAAUGAUUACAGAUUCCAACAAUUAACAAGAGUUACAUCUUGGUUUCGGGCAAUCCACACGUUAUUUCAUUACGAAAUUUCUUGUCCAUACUCUUUAUGUUAUAUUAUGUUUGUAUUAAAUGUAAUUAAAUAAGAUACUUUCGUA